rnacentral:misc_RNA from 1 species
GGAGGUAAAAGUCGUAACAAGGUUUCCGUAGGUGAACCUGCGGAAGGAUCAUUAAUGAGUUGUCAUGGGGUUCGAUGCUGGCAGCCAAUUUUUGGAUGCAUGUGCUUGCCCUAACAAUCAUCUUCCAAACACCUGUGCACAUUUUUGAGGGAGUCUUGAGUUGGUUGCCGCUCUUGGGUGAUUUUCUCACAUUCCCUUAAAUCAUUAUACGCUAUUAACAAUGUUGAACGUGCUCUGUGCCGCAAGGCUAUUAAUAUAAUACAACUUUUAACAACGGAUCUCUUGGCUCUC